UACGUAGGGUGCGAGCGUUGUCCGGAAUUAUUGGGCGUAAAGAGCUCGUAGGCGGUCUGUCGCGUCUGCUGUGAAAACUCAGGGCUUAACCCUGAGCUUGCAGUGGGUACGGGCAGACUAGAGUGCGGUAGGGGAGACUGGAAUUCCUGGUGUAGCGGUGAAAUGCGCAGAUAUCAGGAGGAACACCGGUGGCGAAGGCGGGUCUCUGGGCCAACACUGACGCUGAGGCGCGAAAGCCAGGGGAGCAAACGGG
rnacentral:rRNA from 1 species